rnacentral:rRNA from 1 species
AGUUUGAUCCUGGCUCAGGACGAACGCUGGCGGCGCGCCUAACACAUGCAAGUCGAACGAGAGAUGAGGAGCUUGCUCUUCAAAUCGAGUGGCGAACGGGUGAGUAACGCGUGAGGAACCUGCCUCAAAGAGGGGGACAACAGUUGGAAACGACUGCUAAUACCGCAUAAGCCCACGGCUCGGCAUCGAGCAGGGGGAAAAGGAGCAAUCCGCUUUGAGAUGGCCUCGCGUCCGAUUAGCUAGUUGGUGAGGUAACGGCCCACCAAGGCGACGAUCGGUAGCCGGACUGAGAGGUUGAACGGCCACAUUGGGACUGAGACACGGCCCAGACUCCUACGGGAGGCAGCAGUGGGGAAUAUUGCACAAUGGGGGAAACCCUGAUGCAGCGACGCCGCGUGGAGGAAGAAGGUCUUCGGAUUGUAAACUCCUGUUGUUGAGGAAGAUAAUGACGGUACUCAACAAGGAAGUGACGGCUAACUACGUGCCAGCAGCCGCGGUAAAACGUAGGUCACAAGCGUUGUCCGGAAUUACUGGGUGUAAAGGGAGCGCAGGCGGGAGAACAAGUUGGAAGUGAAAUCCAUGGGCUCAACCCAUGAACUGCUUUCAAAACUGUUUUUCUUGAGUAGUGCAGAGGUAGGCGGAAUUCCCGGUGUAGCGGUGGAAUGCGUAGAUAUCGGGAGGAACACCAGUGGCGAAGGCGGCCUACUGGGCACCAACUGACGCUGAGGCUCGAAAGCAUGGGUAGCAAACAGGAUUAGAUACCCUGGUAGUCCAUGCCGUAAACGAUGAUUACUAGGUGUUGGAGGAUUGACCCCUUCAGUGCCGCAG